UAAAUCAGUUAUCGUUUAUUUGAUAGUACCUUACUACUUGGAUAACCGUGGUAAUUCUAGAGCUAAUACAUGCUGAAAACCCCGACUUCGGGAGGGGUGUAUUUAUUAGAUAAAAAACCAACGCCCUUCGGGGCUUCUUGGUGAUUCAUGAUAACUUAACGAAUCGCAUGGCCUUGCGCCGGCGAUGGUUCAUUCAAAUUUCUGCCCUAUCAACUUUCGAUGGUAGGAUAGUGGCCUACCAUGGUAUCAACGGGUAACGGGGAAUUAGGGUUCUAUUCCGGAGAGGGAGCCUGAGAAACGGCUACCACAUCCAAGGAAGGCAGCAGGCGCGCAAAUUACCCAAUCCCGACACGGGGAGGUAGUGACAAUAAAUACUGAUACAGGGCUCUUUUGGGUCUUGUAAUUGGAAUGAGUACAAUUUAAAUCCCUUAACGAGGAACAAUUGGAGGGCAAGUCUGGUGCCAGCAGCCGCGGUAAUUCCAGCUCCAAUAGCGUAUAUUAAAGUUGUUGCAGUUAAAAAGCUCGUAGUUGAACCUUGGGCCUGGCUGGCCGGUCCGCCUCACCGCGUGCACUGGUCCGGCCGGGCCUUUCCUUCUGGGGAGCCGCAUGCCCUUCACUGGGUGUGUCGGGGAACCAGGACUUUUACUUUGAAAAAAUUAGAGUGUUCAAAGCAGGCCUUUGCUCGGAUACAUUAGCAUGGAAUAAUAGAAUAGGACGUGCGGUCCUAUUUUGUUGGUUUCUAGGACCGCCGUAAUGAUUAAUAGGGAUAGUCGGGGGCAUCAGUAUUCAAUUGUCAGAGGUGAAAUUCUUGGAUUUAUUGAAGACUAACUACUGCGAAAGCAUUUGCCAAGGAUGUUUUCAUUAAUCAGUGAACGAAAGUUAGGGGAUCGAAGACGAUCAGAUACCGUCGUAGUCUUAACCGUAAACUAUGCCGACUAGGGAUCGGGCGAUGUUAUCAUUUUGACUCGCUCGGCACCUUACGAGAAAUCAAAGU
rnacentral:rRNA from 1 species